AACCAACCAAGCGAAACCGAGCGGCUUUUAAUUCGUGUGAGGUUUGCCCUCUGGUUUGCCGCCGCUUUAUGCGGCAGAGACAGCGGCGGGAGGACGUGGCUGUGUUCCCCCCCGCGGCCCAGACCCGGGCUUGGGCCGCCCCGGAGAUCUGAAGGGCGCGGGGGGACUCUGUGGCUGCCUCAUGGAGCAGUGCAGGGGGAUGGGGUGCCCGUCGCCCCUCGGCCACCGCAUCAGGGCUUGUUUGGGGCAGGAGGUUUGCAGCUUUGGGCCCUUGGGGACGGAAGAAGCAGACAGACGGCUGCUGGGAGAGGCAGAUACACGCCUGCUGCGGUCGAAGCAGCGGGGCUGCAGCCGGCGCUGGCAGAGCAGCGUGGCCUUUGUCCCCUCCCGACCCGAUCCGCCACGGAAGGAUGGCAGCGGCCAGCGCGUGGCAGGCCCCGCCGCCAGCCGCUUUAAUUAGCGCAGAGCCGCAGCUCGCCGGGGCGGCACGGUGCGGAGGAGGCACUGCAGCGGUUGCCUGCUCGCCGCGGCGCUGCCCGGCCUGCAGCCCGCACUGCGGCCCCGCAGCCGCUCGCCCAGCGCCUCCCCCGUGGCGCCCGCCCCCGUGGACCGCCCGCAGGAGGCACCGCAGCAGCUCGCCGGGCGUUUUGGGGCCGGGGAAGGACCCGAGGGUGUGCGGUGUCGUCUGCCGAAGCUCCGAGCAAACAAUAAACCCGGAUAAACCCGA